rnacentral:rRNA from 1 species
UAGGGAAUCUUCCGCAAUGGGCGAAAGCCUGACGGAGCAACGCCGCGUGAGUGAUGAAGGUCUUCGGAUCGUAAAACUCUGUUAUUAGGGAAGAACAAAUGUGUAAGUAACUAUGCACGUCUUGACGGUACCUAAUCAGAAAGCCACGGCUAACUACGUGCCAGCAGCCGCGGUAAUACGUAGGUGGCAAGCGUUAUCCGGAAUUAUUGGGCGUAAAGCGCGCGUAGUCGGUUUUUUAAGUCUGAUGUGAAAGCCCACGGCUCAACCGUGGAGGGUCAUUGGAAACUGGAAAACUUGAGUGCAGAAGAGGAAAGUGGAAUUCCAUGUGUAGCGGUGAAAUGCGCAGAGAUAUGGAGGAACACCAGUGGCGAAGGCGACUUUCUGGUCUGUAACUGACGCUGAUGUGCGAAAGCGUGGGGAUCAAACAGG